UACGUAGGGUGCAGGCGUUAAUCGGAAUUACUGGGCGUAAAGCGUGCGCAGGCGGUCUUUUAAGUCAGAUGUGAAAUCCCCGGGCUUAACCUGGGAACUGCGUUUGAAACUGAAAGGCUAGAGUGUGGCAGAGGGGGGUGGAAUUCCACGUGUAGCAGUGAAAUGCGUAGAGAUGUGGAGGAACACCGAUGGCGAAGGCAGCCCCCUGGGAUGAGACUGACGCUCAUGUACGAAAGCGUGGGGAGCAAACAGG
rnacentral:rRNA from 1 species